rnacentral:lncRNA from 1 species
UGUUAUCCUAAUUUCUAAAUCACAAUCCUAAAUAUACAAUAUUUCUCUACGAAAAUGAUCAAUUACUAAAAAUAGCAGUUUUUGUAAAUUUUAUUUAUAAAAUAUAACCUAUUGACCAAAACAUACAAAAGCAUACCUAGCUAUCAAUAAAAAAUCUUAUUACCCUAAUUUCUAAAUCACAAUCCCAAAUCUAUAAAAUUUCUCUACAAAAAUGAUAAUUUUCCAAAAAUAGCAGGUUAAGGGAAAUUUAUUUAAAAAUGAUAACCUGUUGAUAAAAAAAUUAUAAAACCAUACCCAUCUAUCAACAAAAACUCUUGUUAUCCUAAUUUCUAAAUCACAAUCCCAAAUCUAUAAUAUUUAUCUACAAAAAUGGUAAUUUUCCAAAAAUAGCAGGUUAAGGAAAAUUUAUUUAAAAUUGAUAACCUAUUGAUAAAAAAAUUCUAAAAACAUACCCAUCUAUCAACAAAAACUCUUGUUAUCCUAAUUUCUAAAUCACAAUCCAUAAUC